UUCGUGAAAUCUCACGGCUUAACUGUGAGCGUGCGGGCGAUACGGGCAGACUUGAGUACUGCAGGGGAGACUGGAAUUCCUGGUGUAGCGGUGGAAUGCGCAGAUAUCAGGAGGAACACCGGUGGCGAAGGCGGGUCUCUGGGCAGUAACUGACGCUGAGGAGCGAAAGCGUGGGGAGCGAACAGGAUUAGAUACCCUGGUAGUCCACGCCGUAAACGGUGGGUACUAGGUGUGGGUUUCCUUCCUUGGGAUCCGUGCCGUAGCUAACGCAUUAAGUACCCCGCCUGGGGAGUACGGCCGCAAGGCUAAAACUCAAAGAAAUUGACGGGGGCCCGCACAAGCGGCGGAGCAUGUGGAUUAAUUCGAUGCAACGCGAAGAACCUUACCUGGGUUUGACAUGCACAGGACGCCGGCAGAGAUGUCGGUUCCCUUGUGGCCUGUGUGCAGGUGGUGCAUGGCUGUCGUCAGCUCGUGUCGUGAGAUGUUGGGUUAAGUCCCGGCAACGAGCGCAACCCUUGUCUCAUGUUGCCAGCGGGUAAUGCCGGGGACUCGUGAGAGACUGCCGGGGUCAACUCGGAGGAAGGUGGGGAUGACGUCCAAGUCAUCAUGCCCCUUAUGUCCAGGGCUUCACACAUGCUACAAUGGCCGGUACAAAGGGCUGCGAUGCCGCGAGGUUAAGCGAAUCCUUUUAAAGCCGGUCUCAGUUCGGAUCGGGGUCUGCAACUCGACCCCGUGAAGUCGGA
rnacentral:rRNA from 1 species